rnacentral:rRNA from 1 species
CCUACGGGAGGCAGCAGUAGGGAAUAUUGGACAAUGGGUGCGAGCCUGAUCCAGCCAUGCCGCGUGCAGGAAGAAGGCCUUCUGGGUUGUAAACUGCUUUUGCCGGGGGAUAAAAGACCCAUGCGUGGGGAAUUGAAGGUACCCGGUGAAUAAGCCACGGCUAACUACGUGCCAGCAGCCGCGGUAAUACGUAGGUGGCGAGCGUUGUCCGGAUUUAUUGGGUUUAAAGGGUGCGUAGGCGGCCCCGUAAGUCAGUGGUGAAAUACGGCAGCUCAACUGUCGAGGUGCCAUUGAUACUGCGGGGCUUGAGUACAGUCGAGGUAGGCGGAAUUGACGGUGUAGCGGUGAAAUGCUUAGAUAUCGUCAAGAACACCGAUAGCGAAGGCAGCUUGCUAGGCUGUAACUGACGCUGAGGCACGAAAGUGCGGGGAUCAAACAGGAUUAGAUACCCUGGUAGUCCGCACAGUAAACGAUGGUCACUCGGUGUUGGCGGUACACGGCCAGCGCCUUAGCGAAAGCGUUAAGUGACCCACCUGGGGAGUACGCCCGCAAGGGUGAACUUAAAGGAAUUGACGG